rnacentral:rRNA from 1 species
UACGGGGGGGGCAAGCGUUGUUCGGAAUUACUGGGCGUAAAGGGCUCGUAGGCGGCCAACUAAGUCGGAUGUGAAAUCCCCAGGCUUAACCUGGGAACUGCAUCCGAUACUGGAUGGCUUGAAUCCGGGAGAGGGAUGCAGAAUUCCAGGUGUAGCGGUGAAAUGCGUAGAUAUCUGGAGGAACACCGGUGGCGAAGGCGGCAUCCUGGACCGGCAUUGACGCUGAGGGAGCGAAAGCCAGGGGAGCAAACGGG